rnacentral:lncRNA from 1 species
AAAAUCCAAAGUUUUCUCUAUAAAUCUCAUCAACUCCCAUAUUUUCAUUUCUUCUUUCUAGUAAUUAAAAGAAACUACCAAAACACCAAUAAAACAAAAUUUCAAAAAUGGCCUCGGUUACAACAUCAGCUACCGUCGCGAUCCCUACAUUCACCGGACUCAAGCUCGCUUUCAGCUCCAAAUCCACGACGGUUUCCGCCGCCACCGCAAAGUUGCCUAAGCUCGCCGUAAAGUCUUCUCUCAAAGAUUUCGGGGUCAUCGCCGUGGCAACGGCAGCUUCCAUCGCUUUGGCCGGGAAUGCGAUGGCCAUUGAGGUUCUUCUAGGAUCAGACGACG